rnacentral:tRNA from 1 species
AGUAAGGUGCCUGAAUAAAAGGAUUAUUUUGAUAGAAUAAAACAUGUAUUUUAAUACCCUUAUUA